rnacentral:rRNA from 1 species
AGCUCCAAUAGCGUAUAUUAAAGUUGUUGCAGUUAAAAAGCUCGUAGUUGGAUUUCUGGUGGCGAGCCGCCGCCCGUUUGUACGGCGCGGAGGCUCUCCACCAUCCUUCUGUUAACCCUCCUCGGUCUUCGUUGGCCGGCUGGGAGCCCAGAUAUUUUACCUUGAGAAAAUUAGAGUGUUUCAGGCAGGCUCGCGCCCGGAUACAUUAGCAUGGAAUAAUGGAAUAGGACUUUUGCCCUUUCUGUUGGUCUGAGGGGUCGAAGUAAUGAUUAAUAGGGAUAGUUGGGGCAUUAGUACUUAACUGUCAGAGGUGAAAUUCUUGGAUUUGUUAAAGACUAACUUAUGCGAAAGCAUUUGCCAAGGAUGUUUUCA